AUUGAACGCUGGCGGCAUGCUUUACACAUGCAAGUCGAACGGUAGACCCUUUCGGGGGUUGAGAGUGGCGAACGGGUGAGUAAUGCAUCGGAACGUGCCCAGUCGUGGGGGAUAACGCAGCGAAAGUUGUGCUAAUACCGCAUACGACCUGAGGGUGAAAGCGGGGGACCGGUAACGGCCUCGCGCGAUUGGAGCGGCCGAUGUCUGAUUAGCUAGUUGGUGAGGUAAAGGCUCACCAAGGCGACGAUCAGUAGCGGGUCUGAGAGGAUGAUCCGCCACACUGGGACUGAGACACGGCCCAGACUCCUACGGGAGGCAG
rnacentral:rRNA from 1 species